UACGGGGGGGGCAAGCGUUGUUCGGAAUCACUGGGCGUAAAGGGCGCGUAGGCGGCGUUUUAAGUCGGGGGUGAAAGCCUGUGGCUCAACCACAGAAUGGCCUUCGAUACUGGGACGCUUGAGUAUGGUAGAGGUUGGUGGAACUGCGAGUGUAGAGGUGAAAUUCGUAGAUAUUCGCAAGAACACCGGUGGCGAAGGCGGCCAACUGGACCAUUACUGACGCUGAGGCGCGAAAGCGUGGGGAGCAAACAGG
rnacentral:rRNA from 1 species